rnacentral:rRNA from 2 species
AUGCAUGUCUAAGUACAGCUCGGUGGAGCAAUCUACCGGGCGAAACCGCGGACGGCUCAUUAAAUCAGUCGUGGUCUAAAUGGGCUAAAGUUUCCUAUUGGAUAACUGUGGAAAAUCCAGAGCUAAUACAUGCAUUUUACGAGUCCUGAGCCAAAGCCCUUUUUUCGUUUACGGAGACUGGGUGACUAACUCGGGAUGCUUUUAUUAGACCGAGGCGCGCGCAUACUCGGUUUAGCCUUACGCGAACCUCGGUUUACGUUUGGCGGCCGUUUGUGUGUCGUUGUGUAAGCGCUAAAUGGUGAACCCUGGAUAACACUUGAUGAGCGUGCCAUUUCGGCACGCCGCCUACUUACGAGUGACUGCCCUAUCAGCUAGUAACGUAUGUUAUACGCGAACGCUGGCGGUAACGGGUAACGGGGAAUCAGAGUUCGAUUCCGGAGAGGCAGCCUGAGAAACGGCUACCACG